rnacentral:lncRNA from 1 species
GAAGUGACAUGAUAAAGCUUGCCCGGGAAGCAGAGACUUGGAAGGUAAGAUUGUAUCAACACGCUCAAGUAAGGAGAUACCCCACCGACACCCAACUGUUGACAACUGAUGAAUUUGGAAAGAAUCUGAAUUCGCACGGUUCAGUAUAUCCAUACGCACAAGACAUUCUUGCAACUUUGAUGGAGAGGGAGUGAUUUCGAACGAGGUCUCUAGAGAUGGCAAAACCUAUAUAAAAAUGUACGGUAUAGAAAUGGUUCAGAUUGGUUGGUCAAUGCAAAUAUUGCCUAUAACAUAAUGAAGGUAGAAACAACCAGCCUAGAGAUUCAUCACCUUUAAAUUAUAAUGCAUCCUUAGGGUGCGAUACUUCAUGAUGCUUGAUACAUUUUCCAUCUCAUAGUAUAUUGUGAAAUACAAAGAUAUCGUUCCUGGGAUGGCAGCUCGAAGCCAGAGAGGCCACCUCAAAGAUUUAUCUCCUUGCAGUGACACAUCCUGAAAAAGAGCAACAUUCAGAACCAUGUUAGAAUAACCUGACAUGCACAUUUACCUGGAGGCUUGAAUAAAAAGGUUAGCCACGGACCUUUGGAAAUGAAAAUACACUACUCGUUUCACUCUGCACAAAAUUUUGUUCAUGGCCCUUCUUUAAGCAAUCUGGAAACUCCGUUGUUACCUCUUCUUCAUGAUUUCCAGGAUUUACAAAUCUUGGAUGGCUAAUCUUCAUUUUAAGAUUCUACAAGGACAGACAGACUUUUAAAGCUCAAAAAUAAUCCAGAGAAUAGCUUAGUGCAUCACAAUAUUCGGUAAUCAAGCAAGAAUAAAUAGAUAAGCCAGACAAUGACAAACUAAAUUAAUACACAAUAACAGAACAAAAAUAAAUUUUACUGGCUAAACGGUAGAGAAUAUGAAUGAUAAGGGUUGAUCAUAAACGAAAACUACCUUUAUCGGGAAUUCCGACUUAUUUUUUAACUCUAAAACAAGAUAACGUAGAUCUCCAGCAUACAAUUUCUCAGGCAGAUGAUCAAUUGAACCCAAAAGCCUGGGUAGACUCUGCACAGUCAAAAUUUCAUUAUGUUAGACAGUUUUACGUCGGUUUGGCUGGGAGGAAUGGACAUGGUUUUCUCUUCUUCAGUCGCUGAUCUUCUGUUAUCCUGAAAUUUAAACAAUAUUCUAAUUUCAGACAUGGAAAAGAGAAAGACCAACUAGCUACUAAAUGAACAUUUUAAGCUAAUAGCGACCUUAAUCAUGAAGUGACAUGAUAAAGCUUGCCCGGGAAGCAGAGACUUGGAAGGUAAGAUUGUAUCAACACGCUCAAGUAAGGAGAUACCCCACCGACACCCAACUGUUGACAACUGAUGAAUUUGGAAAGAAUCUGAAUUCGCACGGUUCAGUAUAUCCAUACGCACAAGACAUUCUUGCAACUUUGAUGGAGAGGGAGUGAUUUCGAACGAGGUCUCUAGAGAUGGCAAAAC